rnacentral:rRNA from 1 species
GGGUCAGUAGGUUGGUCGUGCCACAGGUACGUACUGGUCUCACUGAUUCCUCCUUCCUGAAGAACCGUAAUGCCAUUAAUUUGGUGUUGCGGGGAAACAGGACUGUUACUUUGAAAAAAUUUGAGUGUUUAAAGCAAGCUAACGCUUGAAUACAUUAGCAUGGAAUAAUGAAAUAGGACGAUCGAUCCUAUUUUGUUGGUUUCUAGGAUUGACGUA